rnacentral:rRNA from 1 species
GGCUGAAACUCGCCUUCAUGAAGUCGGAAUUGCUAGUAAUGGCAGGUCAGCAUACUGCCGUGAAUACGUUCCCGGGCCUUGUACACACCGCCCGUCACACCAUGAGAGUUAGGAAUACCCGAAGCCUGUGAGCCAACUUUCUAAGAGGCAGCAGUCGAAGGUAGAACUAAUGAUUGGGGUGAAGUCGUAACAAGGUAGC